AAAACCCUUUUAUUUGAAGUAUAGAUUUUGGUUCCCGGCUGUGCUGUGUCAAAUUGCCCAUGGGUAUUCUGAUCGGUCGCCGCGUAACAGAAGGUCAUGAACCUCGUCAGAUCCGGAAGGAAGCAGCGAUAAGUGAUAUCAUCUGUGUCGUGGAUUGAUCCCGGUCAUGCAAUACUCCGGUGAUUUACCAGUCAGCCGGG
rnacentral:misc_RNA from 1 species